GACGUAGGGUGCGAGCGUUGUCCGGAUUUAUUGGGCGUAAAGAGCUCGUAGGCGGCUCGUCGCGUCAGCUGUGAAAACCCGCAGCUUAACUGUGGGCUUGCAGCUGAUACGGGCGGGCUAGAGUUCGGUAGGGGAGACUGGAAUUCCUGGUGUAGCGGUGAAAUGCGCAGAUAUCGAGGAGGAACACCCGUAGCGAAGGCGGCACCACUGGGCCGAUACUGACGCUGAGGAAGCGAAAGCGUGGGGAGCGAA
rnacentral:rRNA from 1 species